rnacentral:rRNA from 1 species
CUAUGCGCCUUGCCAGCCCGCUCAGGUGUGCCAGCAGCCGCGGUAAUACGUAGGUGGCAAGCGUUGUCCGGAAUUACUGGGUGUAAAGGGAGCGCAGGCGGGAAGCCAAGUCAGCUGUGAAAACUACGGGCUUAACUUGUAGACUGCAGUUGAAACUGGUUUUCUUGAGUGAAGUAGAGGUUGGCGGAAUUCCGAGUGUAGCGGUGAAAUGCGUAGAUAUUCGGAGGAACACCGGUGGCGAAGGCGGCCAACUGGGCUUUAACUGACGCUGAGGCUCGAAAGUGUGGGGAGCAAACAGG